UACGGAGGGUGCGAGCGUGGUCCGGAAUCACUGGGCGUAAAGGGCGCGUAGGCGGCCUGAUAAGUAGGGGGUGAAAUCCUGCGGCUUAACCGCAGGGCUGCCUUCUAAACUGUCAGGCUAGAGCACAGUAGAGGCAGGUGGAAUUCCCGGUGUAGCGGUGGAAUGCGUAGAGAUCGGGAAGAACAUCAGUGGCGAAGGCGGCCUGCUGGGCUGUUGCUGACGCUGAGGCGCGACAGCGUGGGGAGCAAACAGG
rnacentral:rRNA from 1 species